rnacentral:tRNA from 1 species
GCCUGGCUGGCUCAGUCGGUAGAGCGUGCGGGUCUUGAUCUCAGGGUCGUGAGUUCAAACCCCGCACUGGGCG